rnacentral:rRNA from 1 species
UUUUAUGAGAGUUUGAUCCUGGCUCAGGACGAACGCUGGCGGCGUGACUAAUACAUGCAAGUCGAACGCUUCUUUUUCCACCGGAGCUUGCUCCACCGGAAAAAGAGGAGUGGCGAACGGGUGAGUAACACGUGGGUAACCUGCCCAUCAGAAGGGGAUAACACUUGGAAACAGGUGCUAAUACCGUAUAACAAUCGAAACCGCAUGGUUUUGAUUUGAAAGGCGCUUUCGGGUGUCGCUGAUGGAUGGACCCGCGGUGCAUUAGCUAGUUGGUGAGGUAACGGCUCACCAAGGCCACGAUGCAUAGCCGACCUGAGAGGGUGAUCGGCCACAUUGGGACUGAGACACGGCCCAAACUCCUACGGGAGGCAGCAGUAGGGAAUCUUCGGCAAUGGACGAAAGUCUGACCGAGCAACGCCGCGUGAGUGAAGAAGGUUUUCGGAUCGUAAAACUCUGUUGUUAGAGAAGAACAAGGAUGAGAGUAACUGUUCAUCCCUUGACGGUAUCUAACCAGAAAGCCACGGCUAACUACGUGCCAGCAGCCGCGGUAAUACGUAGGUGGCAAGCGUUGUCCGGAUUUAUUGGGCGUAAAGCGAGCGCAGGCGGUUUCUUAAGUCUGAUGUGAAAGCCCCCGGCUCAACCGGGGAGGGUCAUUGGAAACUGGGAGACUUGAGUGCAGAAGAGGAGAGUGGAAUUCCAUGUGUAGCGGUGAAAUGCGUAGAUAUAUGGAGGAACACCAGUGGCGAAGGCGGCUCUCUGGUCUGUAACUGACGCUGAGGCUCGAAAGCGUGGGGAGCAAACAGGAUUAGAUACCCUGGUAGUCCACGCCGUAAACGAUGAGUGCUAAGUGUUGGAGGGUUUCCGCCCUUCAGUGCUGCAGCUAACGCAUUAAGCACUCCGCCUGGGGAGUACGACCGCAAGGUUGAAACUCAAAGGAAUUGACGGGGGCCCGCACAAGCGGUGGAGCAUGUGGUUUAAUUCGAAGCAACGCGAAGAACCUUACCAGGUCUUGACAUCCUUUGACCACUCUAGAGAUAGAGCUUCCCCUUCGGGGGCAAAGUGACAGGUGGUGCAUGGUUGUCGUCAGCUCGUGUCGUGAGAUGUUGGGUUAAGUCCCGCAACGAGCGCAACCCUUAUUGUUAGUUGCCAUCAUUCAGUUGGGCACUCUAGCAAGACUGCCGGUGACAAACCGGAGGAAGGUGGGGAUGACGUCAAAUCAUCAUGCCCCUUAUGACCUGGGCUACACACGUGCUACAAUGGGAAGUACAACGAGUCGCGAAGUCGCGAGGCUAAGCUAAUCUCUUAAAGCUUCUCUCAGUUCGGAUUGCAGGCUGCAACUCGCCUGCAUGAAGCCGGAAUCGCUAGUAAUCGCGGAUCAGCACGCCGCGGUGAAUACGUUCCCGGGCCUUGUACACACCGCCCGUCACACCACGAGAGUUUGUAACACCCGAAGUCGGUGAGGUAACCUUUUGGAGCCAGCCGCCUAAGGUGGGAUAGAUGAUUGGGGUGAAGUCGUAACAAGGUAGCCGUAUCGGAAGGUGCGGCUGGAUCACCUCCUUUCUAAGGAA